rnacentral:rRNA from 1 species
AUUGAACGCUGGCGGCAGGCCUAACACAUGCAAGUCGAGCGGAGCGGCGGACGGGUGAGUAAUGCCUAGGAAUCUGCCUGGUAGUGGGGGAUAACGUCCGGAAACGGGCGCUAAUACCGCAUACUAUCAGAUGAGCCUAGGUCGGAUUCGCUAGUUGGGGGGGUAAAGGCCUAGCAAGGCGACGAUCCGUAACUGGUCUGAGAGGAUGAUCAGUCACACGGGAACUGAGACACGGCCCAGACUCCUACGGGAGGCAGGAGUGGGGUAUUUUGGACAAUGGGGGAAAGCCUGAUCCAGCCAUCCCGCGUGGGCGAUGAAGGCCUUCGGGUUGUAAAGCACUUUUGGCAGGAAAGCGGUACCUGCAGAAUAAGCACCGGCUAACUACGUGCCAGCAGCCGCGGUAAUUC